AUAUAAACAAUUUUAAUGCAUAUGGGAAUACACAUUUAUGCCAGUGUGUGUGUGUGUGUGUUAAUGUCACUGGCUCGUUGCUGGUGGUGGUUUUGGAUUUUUUGCAGUAUGGAGAAAUUUCAUGGAAACAUACAUCAAAUCCAUGUUAAAUUUUAUAUUUUCUAUCAAUAUCCACAUUAUUUUGUAUCAAUUUCUUCCACAUGCCUUUGUAUUGGAAAAGGAAAUAUCAAGUGUUUCUCUCUUGCUCUCUUUUUCAAAAGAGACACGGAUGUCUUGUUUAAUUUAUUAAAGAAUUUUUCAGUGAAAAUGUUUAAAAGACAUGCCCUAUUUCUUCAAAAUAUGCUAAUUUUUAUAAAAUGUAGAUCAUUUUCACAAAAAUACUCAUGUUUUUUAUAUUAAAAAUCA